UACGUAGGUGACCAGCGUUGUCCGGAUUUACUGGGCGUAAAGAGCGCGCAGGCGGUCGUUCAAGUCGAGUGUGAAAGCCCCCGGCUCAACUGGGGAGGGUCACUCGAUACUGAUCGACUUGAAGGCAGGAGAGGGAAGCGGAAUUCCCGGUGUAGUGGUGAAAUGCGCAGAUAUCGGGAGGAACACCGGUGGCGAAGGCGGUUCUCUGGGCCUUACCUGACGCUGAGGAGCGAAAGCGUGGGGAGCGAACAGG
rnacentral:rRNA from 1 species